GCGUCAGCCAUCUUGUCGCACUUCCGCCCUGUGGGGAAAAUGGCUGCGGCGGCGCCAUUUUAGAGAAGGCGGAAGGUCGACUUUUCCCCGGAAGUGUCAAAAAACCGUCUUUUUUGCUUCAGUUCACUCAGACCAGCGCAGACCCGUCGCUGGGUCCAGGGGCCUGCUCUGCCGGCCCGUCCGUGGUGGGUGCGCCGCGUCACAGCUGCGUGUAGUCCCACUGUGCGCCCGCCUCGCCCACCUCAGGCCGAACCGGGGACGCACGACGCCCGAGUCGAUACCCGGACAGGACGCCGCUGCGGGGCACGACCGUCGGCUUCCCCGAGGCCGUUCUGUUCCUUCUGCCUGGCUUCCACGUAUUCUCUUCGUUUGCAAAAUAGCGACGCUGCGUAACAUUCCCGGAGUAUCUUACUGA
rnacentral:lncRNA from 1 species